rnacentral:tRNA from 1 species
UUAAUUGAAACCAAAUAGAGGUUUAUCACUGUUAAUGAUAAUAUUGUAUCUUAUACCAAUUAAA